rnacentral:rRNA from 1 species
GACGAACGCUGGCGGCGUGCCUAAUGCAUGCAAGUCGCACGCAAAGUGCUUGCACUCUGAGUGGCGCACGGCUGAGGACCACGUGGGAACAUGCCUCUGAGUGGGGGAUAACAGCGCGAAAGCGCUGCUAAUCCCGCAUACGACCACAAGAUGAAAGCAGCGAUGCGCUCGGAGAGUGGCCCGCGGCCCAUCAGGUCGUCGGUGGGGUAACGGCCUACCGGGCCGAUGACGGGUGGCUGGUCUGUGAGGACAGACAGCCAGACUGGGACUGAGACACGGCCCAGACUCCUACGGGAGGCAGCAGCAAGGAAUUUUCGUCAAUGGGGGCAACCCUGAACGAGCAACGCCGCGUGCAGGAUGACGGCCUUCGGGUUGUAAACUGCUUUUGCGGGGGACGAUGAUGACGGUACCCCGCGAAUAAGGCUCGGCUAACUCUGUGCCAGCAGCCGCCGUAACAC